GCCGCGUUAGCUCAGUGGUAGAGCGCCGCUCCUACAAAGCGGAUGCCGGGGGUUCGAAUCCCUCACGCGGUA
rnacentral:tRNA from 1 species